rnacentral:rRNA from 1 species
GACUCACUAUAGGGCGAAUUGGGCCCUCUAGAUGCAUGCUCGAGCGGCCGCCAGUGUGAUGGAUAUCUGCAGAAUUCGCCCUUCAGGCCUAACACAUGCAAGUCGAACGAUCCCUUCGGGGAUAGUGGCGCACGGGUGCGUAACGCGUGGGAACCUGCCCUUAGGUUCGGAAUAACAGUUAGAAAUGACUGCUAAUACCGGAUAAUGUCUUCGGACCAAAGAUUUAUCGCCUUUGGAUGGGCCCGCGUUGGAUUAGCUAGUUGGUGGGGUAAAGGCCUACCAAGGCGACGAUCCAUAAGCUGGUCUGAGAGGAUGAUCAGCCACACUGGGACUGAGACACGGCCCAGACUCCUACGGGAGGCAGCAGUGGGGAAUAUUGGACAAUGGGCGAAAGCCUGAUCCAGCAAUGCCGCGUGAGUGAUGAAGGCCUUAGGGUUGUAAAGCUCUUUUACCAGGGAU